rnacentral:snoRNA from 1 species
GUCCUGAUGAAUUUUUUUCAUCACAGACCUGUUCUGAGCAAUGAUGUUAUGUAUUUCUGACA